UAAUACGUAGGGGGCAAGCGUUGUCCGGAAUUAUUGGGCGUAAAGCGCGCGCAGGCGGUCUUUUAAGUCUGGUGUUUAAGUGCGGGGCUCAACCCCGUGACGCACUGGAAACUGGGAGACUUGAGUGCAGAAGAGGAGAGCGGAAUUCCACGUGUAGCGGUGAAAUGCGUAGAGAUGUGGAGGAACACCAGUGGCGAAGGCGGCUCUCUGGACUGUAACUGACGCUGAGGCGCGAAAGCGUGGGGAGCAAACAGGAUUAGAUACCCUGGUAGUCCACGCCGUAAACGAUGAGUGCUAGGUGUUGGGGGGGUCCACCCCUCGGUGCCGAAGUUAACACAUUAAGCACUCCGCCUGGGGAGUACGGUCGCAAGACUGAA
rnacentral:rRNA from 1 species